UGUAUGUAAAGACGGGUGUUCCUUUCCUGCUGGACGAGUCGGACACGCUGCUCGCUUAUGAGGAGAAAGCCAAAGCUGAAGCACUGACGAGUGAAGAGCUGCUGAUGUCCUGCAUCACCUCACUGAACCACGUGCAGCAGCUCGAGAUCAUUCACCGUAAGAGUUCAAUGACUAGAAACAC